GCGGCGAUGUUCGGGUGCCUUCUCACGUCGCCUAUACAAUAUUAGCGUCGGUGUUGCGCGCUCUCCGAAUCUGCUUUCUUGCUGCAGCGUUUUCUGGCGUCGGAGGUGUCUGUUUUUUCGGUGUAGGCGACCGACGGUGCUUCGCCGCCGAGUUCAACCGAGGUGGCCGCGAGUUCCGGCCGCACCACCUUUGUCGUCGACGUGGCAGCACCUUCCGGCUUCCGCCGUCCCCCAAGAGAAUCUCGUGCCUGCCGGCGGCGGCGCACCGCGGUCUCGCAACGAAGCUGCGACCGCACCCGACACGGCGGAUGCCAAUGACGUCCUACAUCAGCGCUUGCCGGCCCAGUUCUGCCACAUCACAUGGUACACCAGGUAAAAUGGCCACAAUGGUCAAGAGAGGACAAUUUUAACAUGGACGGAUUGGCAUGAAUUAAUACAGUUGGUUUCUUAUCCGAUAUGUUUGCUUGGGCUACCAUUUACACUAACUAAAGUGGAAAAUGUAGAUCUUAGUUUUUUUUAAGGGAAAAAUGUCGAUCUUAGUUGAAGGCAUACGAGCUUGAGCGUAUGGUAUGUCAUUACCUAGCACAAGACUAUGAAUGCGGCAUGUCAGAAUCUAGAGACUUGCCUUGUGCAGCAUCCUUCCUGUCCUACUAAUAUGGCAACUGUUUGAUUAAAACAUUGUUUGAACAGCUCUCCAAGCCACCGACAACGACAACAUGGAUGUGUCUUUUCUAUGAUUGUAGUACCUAUUUCUUGUUACUAAUUGUUCUUGAGGAAGAAAUUUGUAGUAUGUCUCCGGACUGGAUCACACAGUACCAGCCAUAACUCAUUUUUACUGAGCAGAUAACUUGUGUGACCAUUAUUGUAUGAACAUGUUCAAAAUGUACCAGUUCCGUUUAAAGCGAGUAAGACCAAUUAGCCAAUUUGUUCAGAUUGAUGUGGAAUUCUGUUCAACUGGAGACUCUUUGGAACACCAGCUCCUUAUUACUUCAGCUUACCUGGUGAAUUUCCCCCAAUUUUUAGCUUCGGUAACUAUGAGCCAGGAAUGUCGUGAAUUUUGAGGCCAAACCUUUGUAGGCCGCGCCAAGUUCUUCACUUGGUGAUCUUGCAUCAUCUUUCAUCACCAAGUUCUUCACUUGGUGAUCCUCAAGUUGAAGUUCAGUGCCAAGUUCUUCACUUGGUGAUCCUCGAGUUGAAGUUCAUGUAUUUUGUCUUGACUACUUCCAGAUAUUGUGUUUUGAAAUUCUUUCGAAGGGCCUCUCGACACAUUUUGUUGGAAGAACGUGCAUUCAUGUAUGAACAAUGAAUUCAUAUGGUUGUUUUGUAUUACAGUGUAAUCUUGGUCAACAUGACAAGUUCACUGAGAGUACGUGUUGGUACCAACUCGUAUGCUUUUUAUGUGAACAGUAAUAAUUAAUGAUCGUCUUUUCAUCUGAA